AUUGAACGCUGGCGGCAUGCCUUACACAUGCAAGUCGAACGGCAGCGCGGGGCAACCUGGCGGCGAGUGGCGAACGGGUGAGUAAUAUAUCGGAACGUGCCCUGGAGUGGGGAUAACGUAGCGAAAGUUACGCUAAUACCGCAUACGAUCCAAGGAUGAAAGCAGGGGACCUUCGGGCCUUGUGCUCCUGGAGCGGCCGAUAUCUGAUUAGCUAGUUGGUGGGAUAAAAGCCUACCAAGGCGACGAUCAGUAGCUGGUCUGAGAGGACGACCAGCCACACUGGAACUGAGACACGGUCCAGACUCCUACGGGAGGCAGCAGUGGGGAAUUUUGGACAAUGGGGGGCAACCCUGAUCCAGCAAUGCCGCGUGUGUGAAGAAGGCC
rnacentral:rRNA from 1 species